GCAGGCUGGAAGGGGCGCCCGGAAGUUCUGUGCUGUCACCACUGGGACGCGGCACUGUGUGCACAACGCGCAGGCUUAACCCAUGAACACGACACCCUGGCCAGCCUGCACCCUCUGGGCAACCCUGGCAGGCUUGGGGUACCGUCUCCUGGACUGCCACACCCUCUCACCCUCAUGAGGCCAGCAGGCGAAGCGGGAUCUUAGGCGACAGACAGAAACCCCACUCGAGGAGUCUGCAGCUGGAGAGCCAGGCCCCGCAGCCCCAGACAGGUGGCCUCCCCCUCACUGUGUCACGUGCUACAGAAAAGCAGAGAAGAACAUGGGCAGGACCACACGCCCAGCCCCGACGUCCUUGUCAUCAAACAUCCCCAUGGACGUGAUGUCAUCUCCUUUGGGUCCUUCUGCAUGCUCCAAACAUUCUGCAAUAAACACCAUUCUUCAUCUGA